rnacentral:rRNA from 1 species
UACAACUUUCAACAACGGAUCUCUUGGUUCUGGCAUCGAUGAAGAACGCAGCGAAAUGCGAUAAGUAGUGUGAAUUGCAGAAUUCAGUGAAUCAUCGAAUCUUUGAACGCACAUUGCGCCCCUUGGUAUUCCAUGGGGCAUGCCUGUUCGAGCGUCAUUUGUACCCUCAAGCUCUGCUUGGUGUUGGGUGUUUGUCAUACGACUCGC